UACAGAGGUCCCAAGCGUUGUUCGGAUUCACUGGGCGUAAAGGGUGCGCAGGUGGCCGGGUAAGUCUGAUGUGAAAUCCCGCAGCUUAACUGCGGAAUGGCAUUGGAUACUAUUUGGCUAGAGGGUUGGAGGGGGGACUGGAAUUCUCGGUGUAGCAGUGAAACGCGUAGAUAUCGAGAGGAACACCAGUGGCGAAGGCGAGUCCCUGGACAACUCCUGACGCUGAGGCACGAAAGCUAGGGGAGCAAACAGG
rnacentral:rRNA from 1 species